rnacentral:rRNA from 1 species
GACGAACGCUGGCGGCGUGCCUAAUACAUGCAGGUAGAACGCUGAAGGAAGGAGCUUGCUCUUUCUGGAUGAGUUGCGAACGGGUGAGUAACGCGUAGGUAACCUGCCUGGUAGCGGGGGAUAACUAUUGGAAACGAUAGCUAAUACCGCAUAAAAUUGAUUAUUGCAUGAUAGUCAAUUAAAAGGUGCAACUGCACCACUACCAGAUGGACCUGCGUUGUAUUAGCUAGUUGGUGGGGUAACGGCUCACCAAGGCGACGAUACAUAGCCGACCUGAGAGGGUGAUCGGCCACACUGGGACUGAGACACGGCCCAGACUCCUACGGGAGGCAGCAGUAGGGAAUCUUCGGCAAUGGACGGAAGUCUGACCGAGCAACGCCGCGUGAGUGAAGAAGGUUUUCGGAUCGUAAAGCUCUGUUGUAAGAGAAGAACGAGUGUGAGAGUGGAAAGUUCACACUGUGACGGUAUCUUACCAGAAAGGGACGGCUAACUACGUG